rnacentral:lncRNA from 1 species
CGCCACCGCAAGCGGCGGCGCCGUCGCCGGAGCACGGCGGAGCCGCCGUGCCGGAGUUGCGAUAUUGGCCUAAUUUGGGAUUUUUUUGGAACACGUGCAGGUACCAGUAGUGCGUUUCAGUUCCCCGGGAAAAAUUCAGGAAAAAUUAGGGAUAGCCUGUAGGCGCACUGUGAAGCCGUGUUCGGACCCCUAAACGUGUAAGGACCCCUCACCUUAUUUCCUAUCACGGUUUUAAAGUUCAAUAAAUGAUAAAACGGUAUUUCAUGAAUCAACGAAUGUGUGAAAUUGCUUAAGGUUGCUAAUGGAGCCCAAGUCUAGUGUAUUUGUCGGUUAACUGUUAUUUGGCAUGUUUUACAGUUUUAAAUGCAGCAUGAGUGUAUUUGUCGGUUAACUGUUAUUUGGCCUGUUUUACAGUUUUAAAUGCAGCAUGAGGUUCGAUGUUUUCAUUUUAUAGUUUCGUGUGCAU